GACGAACGCUGGCGGCGUGCCUAAUACAUGCAAGUCGAGCGGAAUGAUGAAGAAGCUUGCUUCUUCUGAUUUUAGCGGCGGACGGGUGAGUAACACGUGGGCAACCUACCUUGUAGAUUGGGAUAACUCCGGGAAACCGGGGCUAAUACCGAAUAAUCCAUUUUGCUUCAUGGCGAGAUGUUGAAAGGCGGCUUCGGCUGUCACUACGAGAUGGGCCCGCGGCGUAUUAGCUAGUUGGUAGGGUAAUGGCCUACCAAGGCGACGAUACGUAGCCGACCUGAGAGGGUGAUCGGCCACACUGGGACUGAGACACGGCCCAGACUCCUACGGGAGGCAGCAGUAGGGAAUCUUCCACAAUGGACGAAAGUCUGAUGGAGCAACGCCGCGUGAGUGAAGAA
rnacentral:rRNA from 1 species